UACGUAGGGAGCAAGCGUUGUCCGGAAUCAUUGGGCGUAAAGCGCGCGUAGGCGGCCCUGUAAGUCCGUUGUGAAAGUCAAAGGCUCAACCUUUGAAAGCCGAUGGAUACUGCGGGGCUAGAGUCCGGAAGAGGCGAGUGGAAUUCCUGGUGUAGCGGUGAAAUGCGCAGAUAUCAGGAGGAACACCGAUGGCGAAGGCAGCUCGCUGGGACGGUACUGACGCUGAGGCGCGAAAGCGUGGGGAGCAAACAGG
rnacentral:rRNA from 1 species